rnacentral:rRNA from 1 species
GUAUCUGUUCAUCCCUNGACGGUAUCUAACCAGAAAGCCACGGCCACGGCUAACUACGUGCCAGCAGCCGCGGUAAUACGUAGGUGGCAAGCGUUGUCCGGAUUUAUUGGGCGUAAAGCGAGCGCAGGCGGUUUCUUAAGUCUGAUGUGAAAGCCCCCGGCUCAACCGGGGAGGGUCAUUGGAAACUGGGAGACUUGAGUGCAGAAGAGGAGA